rnacentral:piRNA from 1 species
GGGGCUGGAGACCGGCCCGGCCAACACAGC